rnacentral:rRNA from 1 species
CGCUGGCGGCGUGCCUAACACAUGCAAGUCAACUUGACUGAAGGAGCAAUCUGACAGUAGAGUGGCGCAAGGGUGCGUAACGCGUAAGUAACUUGCCCCAAGGUAAGGAAUAACGUCGAGAAAUCGGCGCUAAUACCUCAUAAUGCAGCGGAUCCGCAUGGAUAUGUUGUUAAAGGUUUACCGCCUUGGGAUAGGCUUGCGUCUGAUUAGCUAGUUGGUGUGGUAACGGCACACCAAGGCUACGAUCAGUAACUGGUCUGAGAGGAUGAUCAGUCACACUGGAACUGAGACACGGUCCCAGACUCCUACGGGAGGCAGCAGUGAGGAAUAUUGGGCAAUGCUCGAAAGAGUGACCCAGCAACGCCGCGUGGAGGAUGAAGGUAUUCUAUAUCGUAAACUCCUGUGAGAGCAGACGAAAGACAGAUUAUUAAUCUGGAUGACUGUAUGCUCAGAGGAAGCCCCGGCUAACUACGUG